rnacentral:rRNA from 1 species
AGAGUUUGAUCCUGGCUCAGAACGAAUGCUGGCGGCAGGCUUAACACAUGCAAGUCGAGCGAUGUAGCAAUACAUAGCGGCGCACGGGUGAGUAACACGUGGGAAUAUGCCCUUUGGUACGGAAUAGCCUCGGGAAACUGGGAUUAAUACCGUAUAUGACGAGAGUUGAAAGAUUUAUCGCCAAAGGAUUAGCCCGCGUC